UGAGGAAUCUUGCGCAAUGGGGGAAACCCUGACGCAGCAACGCCGCGUGAGUGAGGAAGGCCUUCGGGUCGUAAAGCUCUGUCAGAUGGGAAGAAAUGGGUGAGGGUGAAUAUCGUCCACCCUUGACGGUACCAUCAGAGGAAGCACCGGCUAACUCCGUGCCAGCAGCCGCGGUAAUACGGGGGGUGCAAGCGUUGUUCGGAAUCAUUGGGCGUAAAGCGCGCGCAGGCGGCUUGGUAAGUCAGAUGUGAAAGCCCUGGGCUUAACCCAGGAAGUGCAUUUGAUACUGCCUCGCUAGAGUACGGGAGAGGAAAGUGGAAUUCCUGGUGUAGAGGUGAAAUUCGUAGAUAUCAGGAGGAACACCGGUGGCGAAGGCGACUUUCUGGCCCGAUACUGACGCUCAGGCGCGAAGGCGUGGGGAGCAAACAG
rnacentral:rRNA from 1 species